UACGUAGGGGGCUAGCGUUAUCCGGAUUUAUUGGGCGUAAAGAGAACGCAGGCGGUCUUUUAAGUCUGAUGUGAAAGCCUUCGGCUUAACCGGAGUAGUGCAUUGGAAACUGGGAGACUUGAGUGCAGAAGAGGAGAGUGGAACUCCAUGUGUAGCGGUGAAAUGCGUAGAUAUAUGGAAGAACACCAGUGGCGGAAGCGGCUCUCUGGUCUGUAACUGACGCUGAGGUUCGAAAGCGUGGGUAGCAAACAGG
rnacentral:rRNA from 1 species